CACGUAGGGGGCGAGCGUUGUCCGGAUUUAUUGGGCGUAAAGAGCUCGUAGGCGGCUCAGUCAGUCGGGUGUGAAAACUCCAGGCUCAACCUGGAGACGCCACCUGAUACUGCUGUGGCUAGAGUCCGGUAGGGGAGCAUGGAAUUCCUGGUGUAGCGGUGAAGUGCGCAGAUAUCAGGAGGAACACCAGUGGCGAAGGCGGUGCUCUGGGCCGGAACUGACGCUGAGGAGCGAAAGCGUGGGGAGCGAACAGG
rnacentral:rRNA from 1 species